rnacentral:lncRNA from 1 species
AGGUUCCUAGUCACUUUGUAUUUUCACCAGAACUAUCUUCAUUUUUUUGGUUCAGUGCAUUUUACUUUCUGUUUUCCUGGUUCCCUUUUUUCUCUUUGUGUGUGUUGUUAUACUUACUGUUUUCUUCUCAUCAUUGUUUGAGGUUCGUCUAGUUGGCAUUAACUAAUUCUUAGUUCUGCAGGAGGUGCAUUUUCUAGACCUUGACAUUUUCUUUGCCAUAAGUUUUAUGAGGUUAUCCUCGACAGUGCCUAUUAAAAAGCCAUUGGCUUAUUAAUCUUCAUGUCUCAACAUGUCUUACUGGAAGUCUUAUGUGGGUUUUUUCUUCUUUGGACUAUUGUUUCAAUGUAUGUUAGUUAAAAUUUUAUGUCUAUAUAGAGGCCAGGCAUUAGGAGGUUUGGAUUUGCAAAAUAGAAUAGUGGUUCUUAUUUUAAUUACAACAUGAUCUUAUCUGGUGAUUCAAUAUCCUAGCAUAGACUGAGUUCGUUUUACUUCAAAACAUUAUUGUAACUAUAUUGAGAAACAAGAGUGCAGAGCCAGGUCUUAGUGUAGUGCAGCAAACAUAGUAGCUGGGUCAGUGACCUUUUCAUUUUGCUUCAAUAACAUUUAAUUAAGCACUAGAAAAAUUCAUAUAAUCUUGUUCUGCCUCAGAUAGGACAUAAAGGAUUUUGUUUUUUGAUUUAUAUACUAUGAAUAAUAAAAUGCAGUAGUUUGGAUGGUGUACUGAUUAUGUGAGCACAUAAUAUGCAAAUCUUUUAACCUUUAGAUGGGAGAUAUUAAAGUUUGUUUUGUGACAAUGAAUUCAGUCCCUAUUUCACUUCAAUCCUGAAAUGCAAACUCCAAAAAUGUAUUACUUUUCUAGCUUUCUUCUUACUUUAGAUUUAUCUAUUCCACAAGGAAGCUAAAUAUAUGUGGAUUUACAAAAUUAGCUUGUUGAAAUCAUCUCACACGAUUGUUGAUUUUUUCCAGGACUUUCCAUCAUUGAAAUUUUGGGAACAACUUAUCAUUAUUUGUUAUAAAUGGUAUCUAAUGGACUCUGAAGCUAAUCCCACGCAAAGCUAAUCUAUUCUAGGGGAUUAAUUAGGGUUCAAUCACAAUAAAUAUCUAUAGAAGUUUCAUCAAUCUAUGGUUAUUAAUAAAUCUAUUUAGGCUCUCUCUGGUAUGCUGUACCAUACCAUACCGGUUGGUACGGGGUGUACGGUACCAUACCAGUUCGGUACCGGUACCGGUAUGGGUGGUGUACAGACACUCGAUACGCCCAAAAAAAUCCAUACUAUAUCGUACCAUACCGACAUUAUACUAGUGUGGCACCGGUACGGGAUCCGGUACCGAGACGGCGAACCUUGAGGCUCUUUAAUUCACCUAUCUACACGCACUAGUUUAUUCAUCUAUGUUCUAAUUCACCCAUCAUCACCUACUGAGUCAUCCAUUCAUAUUAAUCAACUCACCCCAAACCAUUUCUAUUCCACCUAAGAUUGCUCCCAUCUACCCACCAACUUAAUUGUAGGAAUACACCACACAACCCUCCUUAAUCUAGAUUUUAGGUGUCAGCUCAUUUCAACAGCCAAGCUUCACUACUUCUCCCCUCGUACUGCAUUACCCUCUUGCCCUAAUUUUUUAUCUUUUGACGCUCUCCCCACAUAUCCGAGCCACUUGUUAGAGAAUCAGCCCAAGAUUUUCUUUCAUGAACUUCCAUAUGUACUAACAACAUGCCCUGCAUAAAAAAAAUACAUGGACUUGCCAUUUUGAAUGUUCUAUGUUUUGCCUCCUUUUUGCUUUUGCUUCCAAUAUCCUCUUCUCUCUUGAAAAUUGUCAUCAUGUCUUGCAAUGUUUUAAAAGGAAGCUACAGUAUGCAAGCAGUUAGGGGACUACAUGUCACAUAUGCGAAGAUGCAUAUUUGGGUGGGAGUUUAAAUAUUUUAAAUAAAUAAAAAUACAGAUGUAGAAAAAUACAAAUGAUAAUGAUAGUAACAUUAAUAACAAUAAUAACUACCAUUUACUAAUACUACUUCAUAUUUAAUAUUUAAUAGCAGUUAUUUAAUAUUAUUGAUGAAUUGAUAUUAUUAACAAUGCUUAUGACAAUCUCAGACAACUUGUAUCCUACCACCAAUUGACUAAAUCCUUGCUGUUCACAUCUGCUCACAUAUGAUAGGCUGCGUAUGUGGCAGCAUAAUAUUAAGCGAGCUGCAUAUGUGGCUAUAUGAUGUUAACCACACUUGGCCCAUAAUGAUGAGGUAGCUUUCUUAUAUGGCUCAUUUGUAGCUCGGUGGCAUAUGGUAACCACAUAUUGGAAGUGCAAUCAAGAGAUUGCAUUCACAUACAUGGUUGCAUUGAUGGUUCUUUUAACAUUGAAGCCUCAAAAAAAAUUUCCUCCCAUUGCGCUCGAGCUGAUGUUUUGUGGAGGCUUUACUUGGUUACUCAUUUUGAUAUAUGGGUUCAUCGGCUAAUUGAUUAGGAUCAAUUUGGGCUUUCCUCAAUCAAACACCUACCGACACGAAUGAUGACUGUAAUUGGACUAGGCUGGUUAAUAUAUCAUGGCAAUUUUGGAAGGGUAUAAAUAUAAAGUUCUUUGAGGGUGCAUUAUUAAUUGUUGAAGGAAUGCUUAGGAUGGCACUUGUCUUUGUCAAUGAAUAUUGGCCUUAUUAUCUCCUUCCCCCCUUGUGAAUUUGGUCAGGCCUAAAUUCGCGGUACUAGUUUCGGUACCAAUAUUGGUAUCAUGCUGCUACAGUGUUGGUACUGGCUGAUUCGUUGUAGUGACAAACUCCCCAUACUGUGUUUUAACAACCUUCUCGUUUUUUGGCCAACCAACUAUUUGAUUGAAAACAUAUUUUGAUGGUUUUGCAUGAGUAUAGGAUUUACUGGUGGAUAAUUUGCUAUUAUGAUCACAUGGGCCAACUUCUUGUGCUACCUCUGUUCCAUUAUGGGAUGUUAGUGUUUUGUUGGCUGAGACAAGGGCAACUUAUGCAGAACAUUGGUAUGCAAAUGGAUGCCUCUCAAGGCUAGCCACUAUGGGGUUAGCCCUUUGUCUUACCCCCAAGAAAACAUCUUUUGUCUUAACAACCAAAUAUUCUAAAUUCCAUGUAGGUGUAAAUUUUAUGGAGCAAACACCCCCAUAUUCCAAAACACCUUUUAUCCUCCAUUAUUGGAUGAGAAGUUUCAAGAAGCUAAUUCAACCAUCCAUGGAGCAAAUUUUAUGGCAUCCUCUAUCCUUAAUCAUCUCAUGCCACCCCUUUAAGCAAUCCUUGCACUGUUCUUCUAGCCAAUAAGCUUCUACAAUAUCAUUCUAAUCCUUAAACUUCCCUAGCUUCCUCUGUAAGUACCCCCCAUCCCCCCCUAAAAAAACCCCUCUCCUUUUAAGACAGAAAAUAAGGUGAAACUUAGAUAUUCAAGGAGGCUACCAUAUGCUAUACUUCUCUAAUUGAGGAUUUUCUCCACCAUUUUUGCUAUCCUUUUCUUAGUUCUACCAUAGCCUUCACCCUCCUCUACCUAGAACCUUACACAAUGAAGGACCUCAUGGCUCCUUUGAGGGCAACUUGAGGAAAAGACUCCACCUCCUUGGUUAGGGGUCUACCAUAUAGAGACCUAAUAGCUAGGAGGUUUGGCAGGAGGAAGUGAAUGAGACAUCUUACCUCUCCUCUCUUUUCUUGUUUCUCUCUCGCUCGCUCGCCCCCCGCCGCCCCCCCCCCCGCCGCGUUAUCUUUACCUCAACAUAGAAUGCCUAAAAAGACCUAUUUAGAGACCCAUCUUAGCUGGUGGGGGAUUAGCUACUUCACUAUUUUGUAAGACCUUCGAGAUAUUUGAUGUUUACUAUAGUUUCACAGGUUUCCCCAUCAGAUUUAGAUUCUUUGAUAUUCUAAGAUUAGUUUAAAAAUCAAAGAAAAGGGCUUAAUUGAUUAAAACGAGGGACGGUCUUAAGGAACAUCCCUCUACCGGCAAAGAUGGAUCCCUAACUAAAUUUUCUUAGGCUUUCAAUGAGAAAAGAAAUGAGAAAGAAAAUUAAAAAAAAUGAUGAAAGGAGAGAGGAAGCAGCAUAGGAGAUAUCUGGCAAUCAUGAUAGUCACUUACUCCUUUAUUGCUUCCCCCACCCAAACCUUCUUCAUAUUGGAUCUACGUUUAUUCCUAACCAAGGAGGUGACAGUGGCUCUUUUUCCUUCAGACCACUUGCAAAAGAAUGUAAAGGUCUUCCAAAAGAAUAGUAGUAGAGCCUCCUACAAUUUGCUAAUUUUUUCCUUGAAAGUGUCUCUUUUUUUUCUUCUUUUUUGCAGGGGUUGAUUGGAGGCACUAUUUUGUGGAGGUAGGAUGGAUAGUUAGGAUCUAGGACAUGGCAUGAGAUGAUCUGUAAAUACGAGGUGCCAUGUGUAGUUCCACAUGGAUGGAUGAGAUUAACUAUUAAGAACUCUCAUCCUAUGAUGGGCUGUGAGGCACCAGGUGGGAUUGUCGAAUGUGAGGAAAUUAAGGGGAAUUUUUAACAUGUAUGAGAUCCAAUGACACGUUUAUGCUUCAUUCUUAUCCUCUGUGUGCAUGUGUCAAAAGCAUUCAUUAUCAAGGUGAAGAACAAAAAUUUCUUCUCUGUUCCUUACCAAGAGAGUAAGAGGAAAGAGAAGAACAAUGAAGAGUAAAAAACAUAGAAAGAAGAAGUUCAAAAGUUCUAUAAUGCUCAAUACAAAUGGUGGAUGGUCACAUGCCACAGAGUGUCCACAAAAUAAAUUGUGUUCUAAAAUCCCUCAAGUUCCUCUCCUUGCAAUUUUCCUGCUAAAUCACAUGGGUACCAAGCAUCAUAUCCUUUUUUGAAAUCAUCCUGAUGGGGUCAAUUUCAAAAUUCGAGCUAGUAAAUCAUGUUCCACUUCACAACCUAGAGGGGUCAAGCAUUUAAACCAAAGUAAUUAAGGCCAAACCUCUUUAAAUAAAGGCAAAUUAUGAGAGUUGCCCAUGAUUUUGUCCAAUGGAAGAAGUGCUUCACUUUUUCUUCAUUGUUUCUCAUAUUGAGGAAGAUUCUCCUGGAGGAUAUUUUACAUGACCACUGUUUACAUUAUGUUUGAUUUUUGCAUGGUAUCAUUAUAUUGUAACAUUUUUUUGUUGAUUAUGCAGACUCGUCUGCAAAAGUAUUACAUAUAUGACAACCUGGACUGAGAAAGAACCACUGACAUUGCACGUCUCAAAUCAAGUAUUAGACGAUGCUCCGGUCAAUCCUGGUGAUGGAAAAGAGCAAAAAAGUUCAGUUAUUUAUCACUUACACAGGUCGCACCUAAAGAUUGCGCCUGCAUAAUAUUUAUCUUCCUUCUCUCUUCCUUUAAUCAGUAACAACAAACAUUCAGAAUCAGGGGUUAUUUUGAAGAAAUCUAGAAAACCUGUUAGAACAUGAAGCAUUCUGAUUUUCCUGCUAUCAGGCCAAAUCUAUCAUUUUCCCUGAGUUUAAACAUCACGUGUAGUUCAACUACACAAAAGUUCCUUUCCCUUAUAGAUCUUUUUGAUGUUUGAGUUGAAGGAGAAUAUCAAUUUACUAUUAGCUAAGUUAGUUAAUUUUUCUCUGAACUUAAUUAGAUCCUCCUCUUGAUAUUUGUAUGGACCUUGCUUCAAUAGAUGGCAUCACUCACAUCAUUCUUAAGUAAUAAAGUCAAUUAAUUUGUUGGCUUGAUUCUGGUGAAGUAAGGUCACAUCUGAAUUUGGACUGAUGUCUUUGUUGGUUAAGCAUUUAUGCUCAUUGCUAUGAUGGAUGGUAGUCGUGGUAAUCAAUUGUAGAGAUUGAAAUUUUGAGUAUCUGAUCAUCUAGUAUUUCCUAGGAGCUAGUUCCAUUGGUAAAUCAUAGUUACUUUAAAAUCUGUUCUUCUGACUGUCAUAACUUGCAUACUUUAAUGCAGUCUAAUGAGUUCCAUCAUUCCACAUGUCGUCUUUUGCAGGGAGAGAAAGGGAGCUUAGGUUUUAGCAUUUCAAUCUUAAACCUUAUGUCUAAUGGAUCAUUCCCUUCUCCAUUUAUAUGGGGUACUGGCUUAAAAGUCUUGAAUGUAGAAGCGUAGGAAAAUCUUGGGCGAUGAGCCCUAGUCUUUGGCUAUGGUUAUUUGUUUUCUACAUCCACAUUCUGAGAGGCAGCCAGCCAGCCAGGGGCGAUUUUCAGUUGUUGACAUAUUAGGCCACAAUCCAAUGAUGUGACCUGUUCUCAGUUUUUUAUACUCCCAGGAUAAUGUCACUUCAUAUUGUCUUGUGACUAUUGACAUCAUUUAUAAUUACCUUUGCAGGAUAUGUUGAUCUGUGAAUGGUUGCACUUGCACCCUUGUGGCUUUAGCCUUUUCUCCCCAGUACUUAGAUAGGUUCUAAGGGACACUUAUGUGGAUGUAUAUGACUUUUUUGAUGACAAAUUGCAUUAAAACACCCUGCUGUGGUGUACCCACUUGCAUGGAAUAAGAUCUCCAUUUAGGCUUAUUUGUUGUGCAAGGAUCUUAAUAAUUCCCUUCCUUUCCCCCUUAAGAGUUUGGAUGAACGAACUCAUUUGAAGGAUGCAUUUGACAUGGCUCUAGAAUAAUUUCAUAGUUUCCAUGAACCAUGUACACAUAUUGGAAGGGCUUUUAGAAGACACUAUGUGCAAAUAAUUCUGCUGAACUAUUUUUUUCCUUUUAAAAAUAAUUUUACCUCAUCUUUUCUCCUGACAAGGUGGUUGUAGUUAAAAGCUGGUUAUUGUAAAGUGGCUUAUUGCAAACAUGAUUAAGGCUUCAGCUAAGCUUCAGCUUGGGUGGAUGCUGUACCACUCUAGUAGAUCACCAUGGUCCUUCUUGCUAACCUUUUUCUGUCCAACUACAUAUUAUGUUGCAUAGUUUCAUCUGUAAGUGAUGCAGAAUUGGUAGCCUAAAUAUUUCAUGAUUAGGUCGAGUGCUAUAGCUGCAUAACCUAUGUAAUCAAGAUCUUUUGCCUUGUUUUGGUACAGAGGUGAAGUGUGGUUAAAUUAUUGAAUUUUGUUAGUCAAACUUAAACAUGGUUCUAUUGAUUUGGAAGAGCUUAUGUUGGACAGAAUGGGCAAUAAGUGUUUUGCAUAUUAGUCCCACUGUUUUUUCAUACAAAUAUCAAUAUUCAUGUAAAGUUAUCCAUUUGUACAAAUCAAUCCUUUUGCUAGUUUUCAUGACCAAACCCUUGUUUACUUUGAUCAAGAUUUCAGAAGGACUUGGCUUAACUAGAUUUAAUCAAACAUGAUAUACUAUGCUGGGGAAAUAGUUCUACAUGCAAGUUGAAGCAGAAAGAAAUUUAUACACCCCUAUUCCAAGAACCCCAUAUAACGCAAGCGGCAUCAUGAUUUUUCUUCGAUUAUGGAAGUGUAACCAGCUCAUCCAACGGAUCAUCAACCAUCAUAUGGGCUUACAAAAAAACGUUGGCCGUCCGAUCGAAAUCUCCGUCUCUUUCGUCCAUGGAUUCGGCGACUGCGCGCCGCAUGGGGACGUCUGUAAACAGGAGAGGGCUUCCCUUGGAUCCCUAUUCUCUGAAGCCGUUAGCUAAAGGGCUCAAACACGAACCACCUUUGCUGCUGAGGUGGCGUCGUUAGGCUGGCAACUACGGAUUCGGUUGUAUCUUUCGCGCAGCAAAAUGAUGGAUCUCUCCACACAUAUAUUAAAGCGCUUCAAUUUUUUUUGGAUUGCACAGCUCUUAAAGCGAUUAUUUCAUGAUCCAGCAAUAGAUGCGUACCAACGGGGAGAGAAAAGUAUUUCAUUAAUUUAUUGAUUUUUUAUUAAAUAUUUUCUAAUAUCAAAUUUUACAUAAAUAUCUUUUAAAUUAAUAUUUAUAUAUAUAUAUAUCCUCUUAAACACUCAUUUUACUCUUUUAUUUUUUAUUCUUAUUUUUGCAUAUGUAUCUAUAUUAUUUAAUGUCGUUAAAAAAUUAACAAUUUUAAAUUAAAAUAAUUAAAAUAUUUUUAACGAAUAAAUGUAAAAAAAUAUGCAUAAUAAUGGUCGUAAUGAAAAACAAAAAUAUAAUUUCAAAAUUUUAUUUUAUUUUUAAUUAAAAUAAAUAUGAUUUUUAUUGAGAAGAACAAUUAUAUACAAAAAUAGUAUUUAUAAAAAUACAGCAAUAAAUAUAAAUUUUAUAAAAUAUUUAAGUAAAUUUAAAUUUGUAAAAAAAUAUUCACACAAAAAAACUCUUAAAUUUUAGCCAAGUACAUGCAUGGUAUGCACGUGGCACCGUGGAAUGCUGUAUAAUUGUGGAUAGCCGUCCAUUUUUUGAUGGUGAAGAUAGACGGCGAUCCAGAGAUGCAGAGUAUUCUGUGGUCCACAACCCGCACCGCAAAGGUCCUAAUUGAAAAUUUUUUCCCUAAUAGCUUUGAUAGUGAAUAUUAUUAGACUAAUACUAACAGAAAAAUAAUGGUAUUGGUAGUAAAUUAAGUUGAUUAAACCUGAACUUUUUUGACCGUCAUAUGUUUAACAUGGAGGCCCCCCGGAGCGGUACCGAGAGAGAUGCUUUUCCUCUCUCUCUCUCCUUUUUUUCCCUCCUUUAUAUAUUUUGGUACUGAGUCACGAGAGACGGGAAGAAGAGCGGCGAGAUGGGAGGCGGCGGCGGGGAGGCGGCGGCGUCGGCGGCAGCGAGCGCGUGUUCGUCGUCGCCGUCGGUGGCGUCGCCGAACGGGAAGAGGGGGAGAGAUCCGGAGGAUGAGGUCUACCUCGACAACUUCCAUUCCCACAAGCGUUAUCUUAGUGAGGUUUGUAUUUCGUCGCCGAAUCUUCUUCUUCGUCUUCUUCUUUUUACAGAAAAAAAGGAAUUUACGUAAUGCUUUGGGAUUUUGCGCUUGGAUUUGGUUUUCGUUUUUCUUUCAAUAGGGCGGAAUUUUGUUUAUUUGGAUUAAAAAAAGUAAAGCAUUUAUCUUUUUUGGUUUGGGAUUCUAUUCUUAAGCGGUUUUGUUAAUGAAGAAAAUUAACAUGUAACUGCUGCCCAAAUUUUUAUCACAAUGAUGAAAGGAAAUAUAUUNNNNNNNNNNNNNNNNNNNNNNNNNNNNNNNNNNNNNNNUCAUGUGGGUCAAAACCCAACAUAUAUAUCAUUCUACAGCCGCGAAGCUUUUUUCUUCUUCUCUUAUGUGGUUUAGAGUUUUGUUUGGUUGAUGGAUGAUCUACGAAUGUGCCAAAAAAAAUUGAUCUUUGGUAGAGUAUAAAAUUAAUGCUUUAGUGCUUGUAGGUUUGUUCUUACUUCCCCUGUCGACCAUGGUAGAUCGAUUAUGUUUGCUUCAACAUUUUGGUUUUCUUCAUUGUCCAAGUUCAGUAUUUUGCCUCUCUUCUAUUUCACUCAAUGUAGAAUAUAUUACCUGAAGGAAUAAGAGAGAGAAGUUGAUGAGCUUAAUUAAUUAAUUAAUUAAUUAUAUUCUGUUUCCUAUAAAAGUUUUAUCUUUUUUACUUCGAAGAGAUCGUCUUUUGGACCUGUUAAUUCAUAGUUGGAUGAUGAUGAUUGGUUAUUUUAUUGUGGUUUAGAUAAUGGCUUCCAGUAUGAAUGGAUUGUCAGUGGGGGAUUCCCUCCCUGAGAAUCUCAUGGAAUCCCCAGCAAGAUCUGAAAGCAUAUGUUACCCCAGGUAUGCUUAAUAUUUUAUCCUUCAUAUUUAGUUGGCUAUUGUAUAUUCUUUUCCAUAUCAAGGCUUCCAAGUCCAAGAAUAUAUAAAAAGAAUAUCUAAACAUUAUCUCUUACUUUAUGAACGGUGUCAUAAUGUCAGAGUAUAUAAGGGUACAACAAGAACAAUUACUGUAAUUUCAUGGAAGCUGUUGUUCAUUAUCUUCUUGAUUGAUAUUGUAUAUAACAACGUAAAUAAAUGUACGGAAAUAAGAUAUAGGCUGUCAUUCUCAUCUCUUUUUUUCCAUCACAUGAUCAAGUCUUGUUCUUUGUUUUCUUUCCUUUUCUUUUUCCACUUCUGAUGUAUAAUUUAUUUCUUCUCCAUGUACCCAGCAGACAUGAUUUAAUUACAUUAUAGAAGCCAUUGACUUGCAUAGCUAAUAAAUUUAUUGUCUUAACUCUGACAAUAUGUACCCCACAAAGGGAUGGAUUUAUCAAAUUUCUAACCAGUGCACCACUCUUUUCUUCAGCCUUGAGAGCACUUACAGCAAAUCAAGCCCCCCUUCACACUGCUUCUUCAACUUCUAUGGAGCAAUAUUAGUAUUUUAAUUUAUUAUAUAUAGCUGUUUUGCAAUACAAUGUGAACUGAUCUGCAUCUUAUAUAAUCUUAAGUUGGGCAAUAGUUUUUUUUGCUCUGUAUGUAUGUAUAUGUUCGAUCAUUUUAGGUACAUAUGCACGUGUAUUUGUGGCAUCUCUAUUAAUUUCCUAUUAUUUAUGCUUGAUCUUAAUCGUUUUCUUUGCUGUUCAGGUUGCGGCUGAAUACAAGGGCCCAUUACUUCUAAUCCUAGAAUCUGAACUCUAAAACACAAAAUGUUUCCCAAUUUCUUGGAUUCAUCCUCCCCUCCAUGACAUCAAGGUUUUCAUUCCAGCCAAGCAGCCAAUAUAAUAGAGUAAAAAUUGUGGCCCCUAUUAUCUUGGACAAUAUAAACGAAUAAAUUUCAUGGUAAUGGCCAAGACAAUAUAAACAUAUUGGCUGAAUUUUUAAAUGCAUUUUGCCUCCUUAAGUAGGUUAUUUAAUUAGUAAAUUUCAAAAUCAAUGCUUAAAAAGGAUUGCUAAUCUUGGAUUUACCAUAUUAAUUGAUUUUUCAAUAUCUAGGUCCUAAAAUAUUGGUUGGGAUCUCGGAAAAUCUUGGAUCUUUCCAAACUCUCCAACAUCCAUCUUGGUCAAGAUAAACUGAGAUCUCGGUUCAUGUCAGUCUCGGUCAUCCACCAAGAUGACUGUCAUCUCAUUUUUAAAAGCCUUGCAUGAUGUUAAAGCAAUGAUCACAAUAGAUUUCCGAAUCUGGCUUGUUCAAAAAGAGGAAGAGAUGGAAAGUAAGAGGACAGGAAUGUGAGUAUGCAUGUCAAUUGGUGAAAUUGGACUUUUGGAUCCAAAAGAAACCAUGGGGAGUUGGUGUAUCCAUGCAUGCACCUCUUUGAGUCUUCAUGUAAUGUCUAGAGAGAAAGGAAUGGGAGCGCCAUGCAUCACCAAGGGAGAAUGAUGAGUGGGAGGCAUUCCAAUAAUAUGAUGUGUAGGUGCGUUGUGAGAAUGGACUGUUGUAGAGUUAGAGAGGGAGACGGAGGGAGAUAAGAGGUCUUUUCAUAUUAGGUUUUGCUUUAGGGUUUUACAUAUAGAAUGAUAUUUAUGUACCCUUUCUUGUUGCCGAUCCUCGGAUUGUUGAUGUAGAAUCCCUCCAUUCCAGGACCAAACCCCUAACCAAGUCAGUCAAGGCCUAGACUUGCUACUCGAGCCAGUUGAAUUGCUUGAUAGUCACCGGCGCUCGGAACGACGACGACAGCAUUGGUUUUGACAAUCGUGAUUGGGGAGGUUGGAUUCCCUCUGGGAACCAUGGGACGUAAUGGGAGACAUGUCAGAGAGGUUUCUCCUUCUAUGCGGCAUGGCUUUUCAUCCGCUUUCCCACCAACAGUCCCAAGCUACUGUCUUGCAGAUCCACAGAGGUGAUCCACAUAAGUGGUUUGAGGAUCGGCAAUAACACCCUUGUUAGUAUUAUUUUCAACAUGAGAUCUGCUAGGGCUAUUUAUAGGGUUUGUUUGAGAGUGAAAAUAAGUUUAGCAUUUGGAUGCAAAUUUCUCGAAAUUCCAGGUCCAAGCUAGUCCAAAAAAUCUUUCAAGCCUUAAUUUUCAGUCCCAAGCUCAGCCAUAAGCCUUUUGAAUCUUGGCCCCAAGCUCAAAUUUUUCAGAUUGGAUCUUUUGGUGGAUCAAGCCUGCCUGGUCCAUUAGCACUCUUAUUGGAAACCUGCACAGUCGUCAUUUAUUUGAGAUUCUGACAAUUAGAUUGUUGAUAUCUUGGGUAGCAAGAGGUGGUUGAGUUCUGGGUUGAGAGGAAAUGAUACCCACAUUGAUCAUAUUUCCUUCAACGAAAUUGAUAAUCUCGUAUGGUAUCUUCAUUGAUUUUAGGUCAUUGCAGCAAAGUCUGUAACUAUUUUAAGAAACAAUUUAUUGGUCAUCUGCAUGUUUGGGUUGCUUGGAUAUCUACAGGAAUGCAUUUUCAUUAUUGCUGAUUCUUUUGCAUUUAAUGAGAAUUUGGAUGGCUUUGCCAAUUGUGGUUAAAUGCCCAAAGUGAGACAUUUGGUAAGAGUACCUAGGAAGGAGGUUAAAAGAAUGGAACUAUAUAUGAUUAAUAAGAGUAUGGAGUUAAGAAUAGUGUAAACAUUGUGGAAUCAGAAUCCAGAACUACUUAUAUAUAUAGCUAAUGUCUAAAAGUUUGGCAUGGUGAUGAGCUGCUCGGUUUUCAUUUUCUUCUCUUGAGAUUUGGGAGCGUUGUUCUCAUUUAGAGCAUUAAUACAUCAUAGUAAAGGAUGCAAACAGGUUAGCUGUUCAAAUAGUUAAGAAAGGUGAUCGACUUUAUUGACCAUAAAACAAUAUUUAUUGAAUAUGAGUGCUUCUACAUCAAUAUGGGGAAAAGAUCAUGGAGAAAUAUACUCGUUUCUACAAUAACGAAGGUGCAGAAUAUAUUCUGUUGAAAAAUUAUGGGACCACCCAUAUCAUACCCUCUGGAGGCAUUUUGCAAGUCUACUUGCAUGAUGCAGGGUUCUGUAUCAUGUAUUGGCCAAUACCUGUUGGUAACUAUAGAUUGUUCCUGCUUGUAUCACUAAAAUAUUUGGUGGUCGUCGUGAAUUAGUAAUUUGUCAAGUUAGGUUCAACUUUCCACCUUUACUCCCUGAGACAUAUCUGAAAGUCAUUGAACGAGCUACAGAGAGAGAGAGAGAGAGGAUUCUCUUAAGGUUCAAGACUGCACAUAGAUUUUGUGUUCUGUCACAUGAAAAUGCUAGGGUUUUUAUUCCUAGAAUCAAGAAAACAUGUUGAAUAAGCAUUCAUUCUUAUACUCUUCAAUAAGUCCAUGGAUUAAUGGUCAAAUCAUGGACAGGGUUUAGGAAUUUUAGAUGAACAUUUUUUCCUUCUUUUUACCUUAAAAUUCCACAAUUCUGUAGAUUGACCUUGUGUAAAGUCAUCCAAUUGUUUGUGAAAUAUAAUUGCUUGAUGGGUUGUCUGCAGACUCCAUUAAUGUAUAUAAUUUUUACAUAAAGUAUUGAUUAAUAAAAUAAGGCCAGACAUAUUAAUAAGAUUUCAUCUUCAAAAUGCUUGUUCUUUAUUUUACUUUUGGACUGGUUAGUUCUAUGCAAUGUUAAUUGCGUUGGUUUGGGUUAGAUUUCUUUAAGUGAUAGAACUUCAUGUCUUAUAUUUCAUCAACACUUCAAGUUGUGUUUAAUUUUAUGUAAGUUGUGGGUCAAAACUUCUUAUCUUAAAGUCUGAAAAAUUUCUAACUCCUCCUAGAUAACAACUUAAAGCAGACAAAGUUUUAGCCUUUUUGGCAGAUAUUUUUCCUUUGGCAUAUGCUGGGCAGUGUUAUGUAUUUUUUUUUUGUCAGCAUGUGAAUAUCAACAUGGUAUAAUACAGUGUAUAUAUGAUGCUAGCGUGAUUAGACAUAAAAAGCCUUGGUUUGUGAUGUAUCUUUAUAUGGAGUCCCUAUUGGUGAAAGGGUACCUGUGGACCUUCUUUACAGAAUAUUUUUAUAAUGGGCCAUAGUGUCUAUCCUUGGAGAAUGUGAGGACUAUACUCAAGUUUAUCUCUUUAUUAAUGAUGACCACCUCGCUAUUUGUCGCUUCUAGAGGCCAUGACAAAGAUGAAAUAACUUUAAGCAUCACGUAGUGUUUGCAAAAUGAAGGGUUUGAUGAUGUGAAAAAGUCGUUAAUACUUGAUCAUGGAAUUAGUUGCAUAAUGAUCUCAUUGUUGGUUUACAUUUAUAAGAUGUAUGUUUCAGUAGCUUUAUCAUGAGCUACUACAGUUUGAGGUAAAGUCUCAUAGGAUGUUUUAUGAAUCGGAGCCGAAGGAUGAGCCAUAAAGAUGGCUUGUGCACAUGGUCUUGGCAUCAGUAAGAUAGAUUUUUCUUCAUUCAGUAAAACGAGCACAUGGUUCAAGUUUUAUAGUCAUCCUAAUGGAGAACAAGAUAACGGAGAGAGAUUAUUUCAGAUGAUACUGUUUUGUGCAUUAGAGUCUGGAGUACUCAUUGAGGAAACGUUCUUAUUUGUGUAUGUCUUAAGUAAGAGAAGUAAAUUCAUACUUAUUGUAAUAGAAUAGGUUAUAGCUGUAAUUGAAAUGGAAGGCUUGUUUCUAGUUACAAUUAAGGGAAUCAUGUUGACUGUUGAGUCUCAGUCAAUCAGUUUUUUGCAGUCCACUAUUUUGUUUGUCUGGAAAAGAUGUUUUUGGGGAAAUUGUUUUGAUCUUCAAAAAGAAUAUUGGAGUUGCAAUAUCAUGGAGGCUGUUAGAUUUUUGGUAUUUCUUUCAGUUAUAUUCUCAUUACAAUUCUUAUUUAGUUGCCUUUUAGACGAUCUAUAUUGUAUGAUGUUGUUGUGUGUAUACUUCUCAAUUUUUGUUAUUUUUAAUUGUAGAAUGUUGCAUACCAUGCUCAGUAAACAUGCAAUUUUUUCCUUUUGUUCUUAAUAUUUUUAUGGACAAUUCUUUGGGAAUAAGUCUUGGUUAAGUUGGGCUAAUAUAUGAUUUUGCUGAAGCAGAUGGUAGCUAAAGUUUGUGUCCUAAGAUUUUCAGGAAAAGCUUCAAUUUUGCAUACAGUGGUGGACGAUUUGGACUAUGAUAAUUUCAUGUUAUCUACUGCUAAAAGUUGUAUCCUAAGGUUUUCAGGAAAAGCUUCAAUCCAUCUCACAAUGAUGGACCAUUUUGACUCCGCUAAUUUUAUGUUAUCUAGUCUUGAUAGUCCUCAACAGAAGCAGCCUACUGCAGUUACAGUAGCUUUAUAUGAAUUCCUGCACAUAUGACUGACUUAUCCUCUACUUCAGGGAUGAGAUUUGCCUCACAGUACUCUCCAAUGUCAGAAGAUUCAGAUGAUUCCCGAUACUGCGAAACCCCAUUAAACACCACCGCCAUCCAGUCUGAUGUCAUGAGUAACCCUACCAGUCCAGUUUCUCCCCACAGGCAUCAGAAAGUGACGGUGUUCUCUUCUUCCAAUCCUUACCCUCUUCCUAGCUGCACCCUUGCCUCUGUUGUCUGCUCCCAUCCACGCCACCAACGUGGAUCAGACUCAGAAGGUCGCUUCCCAUCUUCACCAAAUGAUGUGUGCCACACAGCAGACCUCAGACGGGCUGCGCUGUUGAGAUCGGUGCAGAUGAGAGCACAGCCUCAUUGCCCACCUGCAUAUGAGUUGCCUUUUAAUGGCGGGCAAGAGAAUAUUCAGAGUGUAGAAGAUGGGGAAGACCGGUCCUUCUCAUGUAUUAAAACUCUAGAUGAUGAAACUGGUUAUCAAAGCCCGGAACCUGAAGCAGAUUUCAUUGAGGAUUGCUCAUCGAUGGAGGGUCUCUCAGAGUCGAAGCUUAGCCAAGUGUAAAUAUCAUGUGGUGUUAUUCAGGCAUGGGAAGUUUAGAGAGUAUGUGGAAGAGAAGGCACUGAAGGAAAAUGGUGUCGUAAAAUGGAUCAACAGUUCAGCUUGUUCCAAGAGAUGAUGCAGAUAUUUCUCUUGGACUCAUGGACUCGCCAGAAUUCUCUUGUACAUCUGGAGGGAGGCGUGUUGAUCCUUUUUCUUUUUUAUUUGUACAAAUCUACAUGCUAACUUUUGGAGCCAAAGGAAUGCUCUUGAACUUUGCUUGAUUGUUAAAAUUGCUCGACAUGCAGGAACUAGGUCAAGUAUUCCUUUAUGAGGUGCCACUGCCCUUUAAAAUUCAGAUGCAAGUUAGUUCUGAUAUCACUUGAACAAAAUAUUCAGGUUUGCUGGCUUGUGUAGGUUUUGCUGUUUUUAGAGCAUGAAUAUCAAAUGUCCCCAAGUGGUUCAUCAUUUGUGAAUUUGGUGGCAAUAUUAUGUAUCUAGUGUCAUUAUUUUAUAAAUUUUGUUUUAUUUGUCCAUUUAAGCUUGCCAAUCGAAGUAUUAAUUUAGUACAAGCCAAAAGCCUUGUGUGUCUGGAAGUGCAUCUGGUUAAUUUAGAGAGCUUCUGGUAGGUGACUCAUCCAAGUCAUAACAGCUUGCACUAGUGAUAAUUUCGGUUCGCCGGUGGGGGCUAUAUUUUGGUAUACGUGAAGUUUUGGAAUCCCAUGUCACAAGUCCCAGCAACUUCAGAUGAUACUUCUAAAUGGAUUUUGAAGAAUAUUACAAUUUUUUUCCAGCUUCAGCAUUGCUUUAGAGCAUUGGAUUGAAUGAGGUGCUUUUCUUUUCCUUCUCUCUGAAGUAACUUGAUACACCUCAUAUUGACUAGAGGCCUAACAGCACUGUGCUUGGGUACUACCAUUACCUUAUUAUUGUCCACCUCGCUGGGAAGUAUUCAUCUGGACUUGCAAGGAUCUGGCACCAGCAGAAACAAAGAUCCAAGAUGUCAACAAUCUUCAAUAAUCUCUUUUAUUACACAUCGAAAACUUCUAAGAUCACCCGCAAUUAACAAAUUGGUUCGGUCACCAUGGUGAGAAAUUUUUCCCUUUUGUUUCCUUUUACUUGAUUACCCACUUCACAUGUUCUCCAUCUAUUGUGUCACCAACAAUAUCUGGACUCUUGGGGGAGGUGGAAUCAUGGUGACUAAACCAUAAGUAAGCAUAUCAACAAGUUGUAUGAGCAGGUCAUUUAUCAACAACCAUGCCAUCUAAACUUUCUUUCAGCACCAACCACCAUGUCCGCAAACAUUUUCAGUAUCAACAAGCUUUCAUUCAGUGAAAACAGUGAAAACCUAGAAAGAGUUCAAUUGAACUUUAAUAUCAGUAUGCACAGGCUAGGACCAGAGUGCAAUCUUUGCCACAGUAAGAUGGCUAGAGGCCUCGAAAAAACCAAGUCAUUUAAGGUUCUUCCAUGCAAAAUUAGGCUGUUGAUGCCAUCCCUUGUUAAAAGGAAAUAUACAUCAUUAGGAGGCCAGAAUGACUACAUAUUUCUAUCUUCUUGGAUCAAGUCCAGCCCCGAUGCAUCAAAGGAACAGGUUCUUGAAUUUGCCAUUUGCAAGCUGGCAUAGCCCAUUAUAUGCUAAGGUAUCUGCAAGAGAAGAAAAAAAAACUUUUUGAGACAGAAAAAAUAACACGAGAUUUUUUUUAAAAAAAAUUAAGAUAACUCAUAUGCUAAGAGAAUGAUCUAUAGUGUAAGCAAAGUUUAAAUUUUGGUGAAUUUUCACUGCCUGAAUAGCAAGUAAAGACUAAGAAAUCACAAUGACUUUUUAACCAAACAGAUACUAAUUCUGAACAAAGUAUCUGAUCGUAGCUGCAACCAACAUAAGAGAUCCAAUAGUAUGUAGAAAAGGACAUUUCCUUAUUAUUUUUAUUUUAAAAUUUUAUGGAAGUACUUAGCUCCUUGCUUAUCUCCAUUAAGCAAGAUAAUUUUGAAAAAUAUAUAGUAUAAGAAAAUCCAUGCUCCAGUUAAGGAUGAAGAUGUAAGGUUGCUCUCAUAGCUGUUAAUUUAGAAAGAAGAAGGCAUAUGUUAAAGGGACCAAUACGAAAAUUCAUAUGGAAAACUAACUAAUAAGUCUAUUUUCUAUAGAUAGAUGUAAUGUAAAGGGAACCUUCAUAUAUCAGUUAAUUUUAAACAAACAGUUGACUAAGAAAAAGUUCCAGCAACCACCAUGGAUGAAUGCCACUUUGUUGUUUUCAUAAAACGAAUUCAAUAUAUAGGACCAAAGGUACCUAGUAAGAUUAACAAUUGGUCAUUUCUUUGUUCUUUUUAUUUUCCUUCUCUUUCAAUAAUCAACCUAUGCUCAUUUCUCAUCCCAAUCAGAAUAAUGUGGAAAAUGUCAGUAGAAAUAAUAAACAAUAAUGUUGACAUACCAAGGAUUUGAAGGUUUCAGGAGCACAGAGGGAUAAAAAAAAGAGGGACAGAGUAAGCAAAUAAAACAUUAAAAGAGCAGCUCAAAGUAAAUUACCAAAUGUAUCACCGAAGUCAGUGCAAAUUUCAGCACGAAUUGAUUGAUUUCCAUCAGCAAUACCAAUAACCUCGACAAAAUGUGACAGAGGGAAGGCUUGAGAAACCUUUACAGUUAACUGACCCCCAUCAGUUGAUUGCCCUAUGGUGAGCCCACCUUCAUUUCGCAUAACUUGAACCACUGCCCGAACUCUCCGUCCCUGGUACAUCUUCAGAAGCUCUGCAUUCACGAAAACGGCAGGGCUGGAUGUAUCCAUUAUCUGCAAAGCAUGUUAGGCAAAAUUGAAAAUGCUUCAAACUUCAGGUAUUAAAUUUUGAUGCUCAACAAUUGCAUACCAAAUGCUUGAUGUCAGUAACUUUAAGUCCCCUUACUGGAAUAUAUUUAGUAACAGUAAAGAAACAAAAAGAAUAAAUCACUGAGAUAGACAAGGCAGCUUGCAGAGAUAGCUAAAGCAAAGGACAGAAAAACACAUUGCUAAUAAAAAAGCACUCUCAGAUAAAAAUCCUUAUACGGACACUAAGAAUUCAAGUCAAUAACAGAUGUUUGAUCACUUUUCAUAGAUAUACUUAGAAGCUAGUCAUAAAGAUUCCUUCUGUGAAAGAACUAGAUUAAUGUUCUAUUCAUUCACAGAUAAAAGUGUUCUGACCCUUGUGUCGCGAUGCAUAUCAUUCUCAGAUAAAGUGUUCUGACCCUUGUGUCGCGAUGCAUAACAUAACACUGCAAAAUAUGAUUCCCUUGACAGUUGACAGACCUAUACAGCAAUGGUCACUCAAUUGCAGAGGAGUUAUUGUGAGAUUUGCUAAAAAUCACUACACUUAUCCUAACUAAUAUUUCUCUCUAAUGCCCGAAACAUGAAGACUGUAAUGAAACAUUACCCUUAUGUUGUGAAAACAUAUCACCACAAAAUUUGAUAACCUGGACAGUCCUAUACAGCAAUUGUCACUCAACUGCUAAGGGAUUGUUGCAAGAACAGCUAAAGAUCACCACACUUCUUCUAACUAAUAGUUCUCUCUAAUGCCCAAAUUAUAAAGACAAUAAUGGAACAUUAUAGUUAAUUAAUGUAACCAUAUAAAAUAAACUCGAGACAUCACCUUGUAAAAUUUACAGCUAUGUUAUGAAUAUGAACAAACUGCAAAGUGGAGUGACAAUGUCCUUAACAUUUCAACAAGCUCAUAUAAUUCUUUUUACACAUGCAAUUUGAUAAUAUAUAAUCGUGUAGGAUGACCAUGUUAAAUACACUUAUAAUGGCAUUCUGUUGCUCUUAUAAUUGCAAGCUCAACCUCCACCAAAAUUAAUAUUUGUAUCAGAAGCACCGGGCAGCAUCAACUAGUCUACUGCAAUGUUGCAGUGAAGUUGACAUCGCCUGGCAGCAAAUGAUGUCCAAUGAUAGUAAAAUAAUGGCAUUAUUUGAUUAUUUCACUGCUUAGAAAAUCAAAUAUUCCUUCCAGAGCUGAUAUGGAGAUUUUUUUGAGAAGGAUGAGAACCAAAAAGAUGAUUUGAAUAUAAGAAACAAUGUUUCAAGUGGAGGAACACAGAAAAUAUCCAAAAAUAGUCACUAUUCAUGCCAUAUAACAGCCAUUGUAACAGGAUAGCAGCUAACUUCCAGCCAUUUAUAUUAUCCAUCAUGUAUACACAUACAAAGUAAUGAAUAAUGACUGUUAUUCUAAAUUUCUUCAAACAGUCAGAUCAAGAGAAAUAUAACGUAUAGAUCUUUUUUCAUCAAAAUUUUUGGCAUCAGAGAGUUUUAAUUCAAUGAAAGAACAGCAACAUAUCCCGUUCUUAAACCACAACAAAUACUAAAAUCAACAAAACAAAAUGUUUAACAACACGUAUUAUAAGAAAAAAAGGAGCGGUUAUGGCACAUCACAUCACAUAUAAAUGGGUCCAAUCCAGGGAUAAAACAAAGAAAAGAAAAAAAAAUCCACAAGAAACUGACCUAAAUAGAUAUGUUUUGGUACCAAGAAAACAUUUUUUUUCCUCUAAAAGGAACAAUUUAGAGAUUGUAAAAUGUUUCACGGAGAGAAGGAAAGAUGCUCAAAUUUCGAUAGAAGACCAAAAUUAGAAAGCUGCAAUGGGGGAGAAACAGAUCAAUACCUUGUAGAUGGGUCGAAACCCUCAAGCAGCGAUCGGAAGAAAAGAGCGGAGAAGGGUUUUGAACUUUUGAUGAAGUUAGGUUUUGACGUUUGCGCCGCGAAAUGCAGCCAGGGAAUCAAAUCGAAAGGUUUUCGUCAUUCGGCGCCGCUUGGUCCGCCUAGGGUUCGGGUUUCGCGCCAUAAUAUGGCUUUCGCGCGGUCGGCCAUCAACCACCCCACCGCAUCAAGAUACGCUCUGGCUUGAUGAUGGAAGGAAGACUGAGUUUUUUUUUUUUUUUUGAGUAGACUGAGUUAAUCACCCUGGCCGCAUAUAGUUGAGGUUAUAAAAUGUUGUUUUAGAAACUUCACUCAAUUUUUAUAAGAUAAACCGCAUGAAAACACUAAUUUUUUAGCCGCCAUCUAAUUCAUAAAUAAUUCAGGGAUUUAUUGCUGAAUUUCAUAAAGAAGUUGUACGUAUGGUAACCUUAAAUAGUUUUGGAGCCACCAUAUGGAAACAUGAAUUUUUUGAAUUAUCAAAUUAUUCGAUGUUAUAUGGUUAUCCUAGAAUAGUUUUGAGAUCACCACAUGAAAAAGUGAAUUUUUUUUUUGGAUCACCAUUAAUUGAUGAAUACUGGAGGGCCUUAUUGUUAAACUUUACCAUUAAAGGCGUCAUAGAGGGACUCAAACAAUAUUGUAACUUCCUUUUCAUUUGAACAAUAUCCUGACAAAUUUCAUAUUUUUUGAUUCAAUGAGAAGCUAUGGGAUGUUAGACUUUGCUAAGCCUUCAUAAUCUCUAAUUGAUUCAACUUUAGAAACUCAGUUUUGCUUACCCUAUUCUCUAAUUGAACUGAUUUCUGUACCUGCCACUUGAAGAGUCAAGCCUGAGCUCCAGAGGUGAUGGGCCCAGUUCACUUGAUGCCAUGGUGGCUGCACUCACUCUGGUUUGCUAUUUCCUUCAGCUUUCCUCAAGAGGGAAGUGGUUAUCUAAACUUUUCCAGCAUCCAUAUUCCAUCUGCUUUAGCUUUUAUAAAUAGAUUCCAGGAGCAGAGCAGCACUUCAAUUGCACCACUUCUAUCUUAUUUAAAAUGGCAGCUAGAUGAGGGACAUGACAUCAUGAAUAUAGAUUUCUUGUAACAAUUAUAAUGGAAAAUCUUGUAAUCUUUCAUGCCGUUCUAUAUCCCAGUGGUAGCUUAAAAAAACAACCACUCGUUUCCUUUUUUUUUUUUGUAAAAAAAAGGGGGAAUGAGGACUCACCAAUGGCAGAUAUCAUAUGAACACAAUGAUAGGGAUGAAGUAAUGUUACAUUCAACAGUGGCAAAGAUAAUUAGAUGACAGUAACCAUGAAAACAAACAAACAAAACAAAACAAAACAAAACAAAAAAAAGAUGUAGCAUGUAACAGAGAACGAAAUAAAAACCGACUUGAAGCGGUAGCAGCAACGAAGUGGGAUAAAGCUCAGGAAUCCAGUACUCUUGGCUUUUAAACCAUGGCAAAGAUUUGGAUCUUUUGAUGAAUUGCUGCCUUCCAGAUUGACUUGGCAGGUAACUCCACCGUUUUCUACGAAGCUGCUCCAUUCCAAGAAUCAACGUCUACAUCCCGGAGCUGAGCAAUGGUGGCUUCCUUUUAAUUUACGACAGCAAAUUGUAAUGCCGUUGCCAGGUGCGAAACCGAAACCGAUCAUAAAAGGCUCCGCUCCUUGCAUUUAGGGCUCGUUUGGCUCGCAGGAAGCAUUUUCCCUCCUAGGAAUAUGAUUCCUGAGAAGCAGAUUCCUAAAAAGAGGAUGCCUGAGAAAGUACUUUUAGUAUGUUUGGUUAAUCAUGGAAAAGUGACAGAUUUCCAAAGUGCUUAUGUUUGGUUGACCAUCCACCUUCCUAAAAAAGUUAUGUGUAAUUCCUAUUAUACCCUUANNNNNNNNNNNNNNNNNNNNNNNNNNNNNNNNNNNNNNNNNNNNNNNNNNNNNNNNNNNNNNNNNNNNNNNNNNNNNNNNNNNNNNNNNNNNNNNNNNNNNNNNNNNNNNNNNNNNNNNNNNNNNNNNNNNNNNNNNNNNNNNNNNNNNNNNNNNNNNNNNNNNNNNNNNNNNNNNNNNNNNNNNNNNNNNNNNNNNNNNNNNNNNNNNNNNNNNNNNNNNNNNNNNNNNNNNNNNNNNNNNNNNNNNNNNNNNNNNNNNNNNNNNNNNNNNNNNNNNNNNNNNNNNNNNNNNNNNNNNNNNNNNNNNNNNNNNNNNNNNNNNNNNNNNNNNNNNNNNNNNNNNNNNNNNNNNNNNNNNNNNNNNNNNNNNNNNNNNNNNNNNNNNNNNNNNNNNNNNNNNNNNNNNNNNNNNNNNNNNNNNNNNNNNNNNNNNNNNNNNNNNNNNNNNNNNNNNNNNNNNNNNNNNNNNNNNNNNNNNNNNNNNNNNNNNNNNNNNNCAUCGACAAUGAGGAUGGAGAGGUGGUGUGGAUUAGGGAUGGGAGGAGGUGGAAGAAAGGUUGGCCGGAGACGGAUUGGUGAUGGUGGGGUGACAACGGCGUGGUGGAGCAGAGAUGGGAGGCAAUGGUGGAGUCCCCGGUGGGGGAGAGAGAGAGAGAGAAAUAAGGUAAUCCAGACAAAGAAUUUCUUCAUUGCUCCUUUCUUACUCCACACACUGUUUCAAUGGCGAGCGAACUUUGUCACUUUUCCACCAUAUUUUCAAUCCAAGAGCCAGAAUCGGUACUAAUCCGGCAUUAGUAACGGUUCUGGCUUGGUCCAUCCGUCCCUCGUUGGUGUGAUCAUCAGGGAACAACAGAAGGAAGACAAUGGCCAUUAAUAACAAGUACGAAGAGAAAAAAAAUUAGAAAAUUAUGUUGCAUGACACCAAGCUAUCUAAAAUGUUAGGAUGCAACCGUUCCCGUCUUUCCAGGCCGGCACCAACCGGGACAGCCAGGAUCUUCCGGUCCAGAGAGAACCAGUCCAUGGAUGCUCAAAUGAAAUGCUUUCGUAAUCUACCAUACACGAGGCGGGGAACACUUUAAACUGCUCUCAAGAAAAUAACACGACAAUCGCAAGGAUCCGCCCUGCUUGUUUUAAGGUAAGCCAAUCUCUGUAAGUUAUGAUUAAAUCAUUUAAAAACAACGUAAUUAAAAUCCCUGGUAAUUGCCAAUAAUUAUGCAAACUUUAACGUCUAACAUGAGGCCCUGCUACACAUAAACUCACUUGGUUACAGUAAUAUUAACCUCAAAAUGUUUCUCUAAAGCAUUAAAUUAUAAAAGAAGCCUGCAUCUCCCCAAGCUGAUAGGAUGUUCUUCUUAAUGAUGAGCUCGUCUGCCUCGGAUGGGCUGAUCGAUUAUAACUCACUUGGUCCCAGUCAUAUUAACUCCAAAAUGUUUCUCUAAAACAUUAAAUUAUAAAAGAAGCCUGCAUGUCCCUAAGCAGCAAAAGUUGAUAGAAUGUUCUUCUUAAUGAUGAACUCAUCUGCCUUGGACGGGCUGAUCGACUGCCAUCAGACAAAUAGUAAAUAUUUCUCCGUCUUAGAACAAUAUAUAACAGCUUAGAAAUAUCUAAUAUGUUUGAGAUUCAUUUCCGGACAAACUAAAAGGAAAAGGAAAAUUGUGCCACCCACCUUAUCCAGCAUGCGUUGGAGCCGCUCAAUUUCAUUUUUGGCAUACUCAGAACCUUUUGCAAUGCAGCUUUUUGCAGCCUUCAGAUAGGUCUUACCAUACCUGACAUAGACGGCAAGUCAAAUUUCCAAGUAAACUAAGAAUCAAUUAAUUAGCAGUGCAUCUGGAAACAUGGCUGCAAAUGGAUGUAAUCGAGGUUUUUAAGGCACUAAUUCGAUUUUCAUUUCAUCCCUUCAGGUGAGUUUCAAUUUCCACACUGACUUUCAAAGCUUCAGUGGGGAAAAACAGUCAAAAAAAUAUCAGAACAAAAAAAAAGAAGAAGAAGAGUUACUUCAUGUCAUUCCAUUAUAUUUUGAGUUAUUUAGAAUCGUAUGUGUAGGUUAGACAACUUUAAGUAAAACUAAACUGUUUUAAAGCUUACUAUAUUAAAUAUAUUUAUACCUUCUCUAAUUUUUAUAUAACUAUCCCACACUUUCUCUAAUUUGAAUAAAUUCUGAACAUUUUAUUUUCCUGAUUUGUGCAUAUUUUCUUCGUUUCUAACAUUUGACUCUUAUCUAAGCAUAUUUCAUUUAUCUCAUUUUAGAGACUCAUCUAAGCAAGAGAGAAACCAUUUAAGCAUAUUCCAUUAACAGCCAAAUUAAGCCAAAAAUAAAAUGAUCCAUCCAAAAAAAAAUAUUUCACUAUUUCAUUUCAUACAACAUAUUAUUCUAAAACAAGAAAAAAGAAAAUUUGCUUAAGUAGAAAAAGAUCUAUAAGAGUACACAAUACUUUCUAGGGGCCUAUUUGGAUAUUCCUAUAGGAUUGAGCUGAAAAUCCUACAGGAUUCGGGCCUAUUAGCCCAUCUAGCAUGCAUGUUCUAAAAGCCUACACAAAUCUCAACCUUUGGACUGCAGAAAGAAAAAAGAACCUCCAUGGGUCCCACAGAAUUUGAGCUAGGAGAUGUUUGGUUGAUAGAGCUAUGCUUAAAUGAGCAGUCCAAUCCACGAAUCCUAUAUAAUUUUCAGCCCAAUCCUAUAGAAAAAUCCUACAGGCCCUGACUAGUAAAGAUACACAUCAAGAUUGCAUUUUGCACACUACAAUAAUAAAGCAUAGCCAAGAAUAACAUAAAUUUGAUCAUUAGAGCCUUAAAUGCAUAUGAAAUUGAAAACCAUUAACAAAUACUACAAACAAAACAAAAAUAUUGAACAUUUAUACCUAUUAAAUGAAAAGGAAAAGAUUAAAAAAUAUAAGUUUUGCCCUACUAGAAGUGGUGAAACCAGUCAAAACCAGCUGAAACCAUAAAAUUGGAAAUUUCAAUCAGUUUGGGACCAAUCUCUGCCAAAACCGAUCCAUUAUCAGUUUUCAAACCUUGGAUGUAAUGUUGUUGCUUGGUUUAGUCAACGGAGAUCAAGACCUUAUGUGCAUCCACAGUGAAAGCAAAUACAGAACUAAUUUUAAGCUCCAUUAUUAAGAGAGAGAAAAAACAAAUGCCUACCAAACUUAGUAAUAACUUGAUGUAUUUUUUAUUACAAGAUACUGCAGACGUUUUAAUACAAUUCAAUUGCAUGAACAAUUAAUAUAGAAAAUUUCCCAUUAGAAAUAAAUAUAAAAAGUUCCUUUUUUGAAAAUCGAUGCAUCCUGCAUUUCCCAAUGCCUAGUCCAAAGCAACAAAAAAAGCAAUACUGGGGCCACAUACCCUACCUCCCAACAACCAGAAAUGCAGUACAAACUCAACGACCGACACCCUAUUUCCACUUCAGGUCCCUGAAGAGAUGAUGUCAAAUGAUUCCCACUAGGAAAUGUUCCGAUAUCAAGCUACCAUCUCAUCCAUACCAGGCACAUGAGGAGGAAAUGUAACAUAUAUAUUUUUUUCUCAUUUGACUAGAAGAUAAAAGGGCCAAGGGCUACAUUGCGGUCAAAGAUACACCUACUCAACCCAUGGAAACAUGGUGCCCAGACCUAAACUGACUCUAUUCAAGGAGUACAGUGUGUACUGUGGUACGCCCCCACCCCCAUAUUUGCUCAUGAUUUGCCAGUACAAUGUGGUACAACAUGCAAUACAAGGUGGUACAUAGUCCAGUACAUUAUGUACCGCAGUAAGCUCGCUUCCUCACACGUGCAGCAAUACAAUGUGUACAGUGGUACGCUUGGUCCACGAUGAAGAGAGAUUGAGGAGAUACAUGACUGUAAAUAAAUAACUGUAGGGAGCAUUGUGGAGACAGAUUCUGCAAAGAACGAAUGAGGAGCAAUUUCUUUUGACUUAAGCAGAAGGACAAAUAUUUUAAUAUUGGGUGUUCUGGUAGAAAUCUGGAGAUUAAUAAUCAAGAAAAAUCUACAGCUAUAGGUACAUAUUUAAUUAAAUUUAAGAUCAUUAUUUUGUGAAGACUUCUAAUGAACUUGUGCUUAACUUUGGUGAAGGCUGGUUGUACUCUGGAAGUCUGGGAGAUCGGGGUAGUUUGAGAUGACCAAUGACGUUCAUACCACACAUAUAAUAACAAAAAAUCACAAACUAAAAUCAGAGAGUUAACUUCUGUUUCUCAUAUUCAUGAGGAUUUCCUUAUACAAGGAUUGUACCAUUCAAAUAAUUGGUGAAAUGCUAUUUUUAUUGAUACUAUUAAGUAAAAUAGGAAAUGAAAUUCCCUAGACAUAAGACACCUAUUAUGCAGACCAAUGGAGCCCACGAGGCCAGCUUGUGUCAAAAUUUUUACCAUUGACCAUCCCCUAAGAAAAACAAGUUUUCUCCAUAAUAUGCAUCUAUUUGCAAGAAGAAAAGACACAAACACUGUUCUGCAUCAAGUGAUUUAUUUCGGCAUCCAUGGAAUACAUUCCUUUACCAAUUGGGUUAAAUCAUUUCCUAGUAAACACCUUUCUGACUUAGUGAUGACCGGCUUAGCAGCAUGGCUAAGAAACCAAAAAAGUCCUACUCUCACUAGAAUACGAAGGACAUGGAAGAAGAAAACCAGAAGUGACAAGAAUGUAUCAGCCGUUCAAUUUUGUGUACAACAUACAUCAUUCCAACAAUACUGCAAGCCAUAUGAAUAAGGUCCUAUUUUGUUUUUAAUGAUAACACAAAAACCGGAUAAAUAAACAUGCUUGUCAGAACAGUGAUGGCUUAUUCAUUUCUUGGCCAGCGAAAAUGGAGACAGUAAUACAACAUUUACAGGAAGGAUAGAAAAAAAGAAAAAAAUCAGGACAAGAGUUGCAAAAUCCAAUUGAGAAUAAAUUUCAAAUUUGUUAAUAAUAUUUAUCAAUCCAAUUAGUAUUGAAGAUUCAACUGAAGAAAGAUGUUACCUUGCAGAAGAACCCUUGAGUUUCUCAACCUCCUCUUCCAUCCGAGAUAGGAUUGAUUUCCGCUCAUCAUUACUGGCGCUCACAAAUUCCUUCACCAAAGCAUCCAAGCCCGCUACAAUACCAGCCUACAGUAAUCAAACUUGACUAUUAAAGCAAAUUCAUUAACAAAAUACAAAAAAUGUAGGUUUGCAAAUUCGUAUCUACUACAAACUUGUGAAGUAAGUUUUCCUUUCGCAUCACGGUUUGUGCCACACUUCUCAUUGAUGAACAUAACAAAGUCAUCCAAGUCCCGGCCACCAUCGUAGUCUUCACCAGCUUUGUUGCCCUUUGGGAAAAACUUUAGUGUAGGAAAACCACUAACUCCAUAUCUGAAAUUACAUCGCAUGCAUACCAGUGUUAAAAAAAAGUCAUAUAGUCUUAGCAAUUUAAAUUGAAAUAUAAAAACCAAAAAUAAUGACAACAUUGCCAUACUAUGAUGUGUGAAAUAUUUCCGCAUAAACUCUAUUAUUUGGUAAAAUUUUUAACAACUAAUCAUCAUUGCUUCACUGUAUGGAUUUUCAAGAAAUCUACCUACAGCAUCCAUCAAUAAUGCACCAAUAUAAGAUGCAAAACAGUGCGAUCAAUGGUAAACUCAAAAUAUAAAACAAGCAAGGGUUGUUAAUUCUGCACUGCACAACAAGGUAAAGAAACACAUCCAAAUGGCCGAAUACAGCAACAGCUGGAAAUUAAAAAAGAAAUGAAUACUCAGUUGUGGAAAAAUCAGGGGCAAAUGAGAUUUCGAAAGAAAAUAUAGGACCUAUUUUUUUUAAUAUUUAUAUUUUGGAGGCCAUGGCAUUGAAUAGGAACCAACAAGUGGAGUACAGAAAUCCUCAAUAGGAUAACACUAAAUUAUGUUUCUAUCUGCAAUAAUAUCAAUUGUAUCAUAUAUGUCAAGGUAUUGAACUUAAAAGGAUGUCAUGCCAAUAUUUGACAUGCAAUUGCUGUUGCAUGAAUUGUUUUCCAGGGAAAAAGAAAAUAAGGAGCUUGAAGCAGCACAGGAGUAACGAGCAAGAAAUUAAUACAAUCAACAAACCUGUCCACAAGAAUAAUAAAGAUCAGACAAUAGAGAACCAGAUGAAAUAGUUUAGCCAUCUAAAUGAAAGUCAAAAAAUGGGCACAGAUCUUGGAUCAUAGUGUCUGAAAAAGAGGAACUGAAAAAAAAAACUUUCAUUAAAACACAAACAUGAAGAAAACAGCCUUUUCCGAAUGAAAUGCAAAACAGUAUGUGCAAAAUCAAUGCUAUCUAAGUGAAUAAAGCUUGUCCGAAUUGUUGCUGUGCAUUUAGAAUUUUUCUUUGUCCACAAAAACUAUAUAUUAAAGCUGAAAUCCAAUGACUUCAUUGAAGGAGAGCAAAUAAAGUGAAAGUCAUGCUUCCUUUGAAUGCAAAGUAGACAUUAUAAAUUUUAUUAGGAAGCUCUCUUGAUGGGCACAUGGGAAAGAACCUAAAUCCCAUUGAAAAUUGGAAAAUCAACAAUAUAAUGAAUCAUGAAUCAUGAUCAUAUCCUAGUCUGUAGGGCUGCAAUGGAAACACUGAAAUGCAAUAUUAGGUUAGCAACUUUAUUUCUGACUACAGUCAGCAGGUAUAACUCUCAUGUCCCUUUAUUACUGAUAACGUAACAAAACUGAACUGGGGAACCAAAUUUAUUUUGAAAUACUAAGCAUAAGAAACAAGACAAAUAUAAUUGUGAUAUCUAAUGGUCUUAAAAUUUUGGGGACUUGUAAACAUAAUUACAAAUUCUGAACUCACUUUUCAGCCAAAUCUCUGUAUUUGUCAGCAUCAAUGUUAGCAAUUACAACAUCCUCUUCCAACUUGUAUGCAGUAGCUACCUUCUCGUAUGUCUAUAAAGAAACAAAAGAUGAUUAAAAACUAGUAAAGCUACAAAAAGAUGAAGUACAUGACAAUGCUAUUACUCAUCAUAGUGGGCCAUUUUUUUUCCAAUGUUUCCUGGUUAUAUUUAUUUACUUACAGGAGCAAGGUUUUUGCAGUGGCCACACCUGUUGGGAAAACAAUCAUAAGAUUAUAUGUCAACAAGUAAAAAAUCCAAUGAAGCAAACAUAGCUAGGGCCAAACAGCCGUGAAGCUAAACUAACCAUGGUGCAUAAAACUCCACAAUGACAUCCUUAGUUUCAUCAAGGACAACCUGGUCGAAGUUAUCUGGUGUCAGUACUACUACACUAGAAGGAAGAGCUGCCACCUUCACAUUGGUCCCUGUAAUCAUAGACCAAUAAAUCUGUUAGGUAACAUCAACUCUUUUUUAAUCCACUUGUUGACAUGCAUGAACUAUCUCAUCAAGGACAAGAUGAUAUAUGGAACUUUUCAGCUCAUGAAACUGGAUAAUAUGAAAACAGAUAUUUAAAUGUACAAACUCAUGGGAACCAUCUUGCUUCAAAUGUUGGAUAGAAGGAAAACAGAAGGUAUUAAUAUGCCAAUGCAGUCAUACGCAGUAAUGUCGUGUCUCAUUCAGCAACUAACUAUAACAGGGUGAGUAGUAAUGGACAGAACUUCUUUGAACCUUUUAAGCCACAAGUAGCAUAAGAAUCCAGGGAAAACAUGAAAAGUACCAAAAUAAAGACAACUUAAGUAUACUUAGGCCCUGUUUGGGGGAGCUGUUGGCAGUAGAGCUGUUAGAAGUAGAGCUGUUGGAAGUAGAGCUGUCUGAAGUAGAGCUGUUAUAAAAAGCUGUUUGCUGUUUGGUAACUACAUUCGUAAAGUGCUGUGGNNNNNNNNNNNNNNNNNNNNNNNNNNNNNNNNNNNNNNNNNNNNNNNNNNNNNNNNNNNNNNNNNNNNNNNNNNNNNNNNNNNNNNNNNNNNNNNNNNNNNNNNNNNNNNNNNNNNNNNNNNNNNNNNNNNNNNNNNNNNNNNNNNNNNNNNNNNNNNNNNNNNNNNNNNNNNNNNNNNNNNNNNNNNNNNNNNNNNNNNNNNNNNNNNNNNNNNNNNNNNNNNNNNNNNNNNNNNNNNNNNNNNNNNNNNNNNNNNNNNNNNNNNNNNNNNNNNNNNNNNNNNNNNNNNNNNNNNNNNNNNNNNNNNNNNNNNNNNNNNNNNNNNNNNNNNNNNNNNNNNNNNNNNNNNNNNNNNNNNNNNNNNNNNNNNNNNNNNNNNNNNNNNNNNNNNNNNNNNNNNNNNNNNNNNNNNNNNNNNNNNNNNNNNNNNNNNNNNNNNNNNNNNNNNNNNNNNNNNNNNNNNNNNNNNNNNNNNNNNNNNNNNNNNNNNNNNNNNNNNNNNNNNNNNNNNNNNNNNNNNNNNNNNNNNNNNNNNNNNNNNNNNNNNNNNNNNNNNNNNNNNNNNNNNNNNNNNNNNNNNNNNNNNNNNNNNNNNNNNNNNNNNNNNNNNNNNNNNNNNNNNNNNNNNNNNNNNNNNNNNNNNNNNNNNNNNNNNNNNNNNNNNNNNNNNNNNNNNNNNNNNNNNNNNNNNNNNNNNNNNNNNNNNNNNNNNNNNNNNNNNNNNNNNNNNNNNNNNNNNNNNNNNNNNNNNNNNNNNNNNNNNNNNNNNNNNNNNNNNNNNNNNNNNNNNNNNNNNNNNNNNAAUUUUCCAUAAAAUAAUUUUCCGCGGUCCAGGGGCUCUUCUUCGUGGUCCACGCACGAGGAGGACCUCAGCGUGGGCCGCGAGGUUGAUGUUUAAAAAAAAAAACAAUAGAUUGAUUUUGGAAGGUAUGGAAAAGGAUUAAAAUUUUUUUCUUCUAAAAUGUGGUUCAAGAGAUGCAUACAAAAAUUGAAAAGAAAAAUACAUUUUCUUAUGGAAGGGAGUCUGACGGCUAGGGUUCUUGGCUCCGGCAGAUAUUUAGGUUUAUAAAGGGACAAACUAUGUAAUUAUGUUAUUUUAAUAUGGGCAUUUUUGUCAAAAAUACAGCUUUCCGAAAAAGCUGAAACAGCUUUCCCCCAAAAGCUCCAAAUUGGAGCUUCCUCCCAAAAGCUGUUUUCAGCUUCCCGCAAAAGCUGAAACAGCUUUUUUGAAAAAUUUACCAAACACAGUUUUUAAUCUAAAAGUACUUUUGGAGGGCCAGAAAGUGCUUUCUGGCCCUCCAAAAGCUCCCCCAAACAGGGCCUUACUGACUGUCGCAAGGCAAAAUCCACUUUCAACAUUACAUGCAGGAAAGACACAACCAAGCAGGAAUUUGAGCAGGAGAUGCACCUUCCUAUCCUAGAAAAUCUACUGUCUGCUAUAUUAGAAGGGGAAAAGGCCUCAUAGUCCAGCAAUAUGCUAGACUCUGAAGCUUUUACCUAACAUUUAUUUAAUAUUUUGGAUGCGGCUGGCAUCCAGCAAGAUAGUUCAUCUUUUCAUAAUUGCUAAUGAAAAUGAGAAGGAAAGAAAAAUGUAAGCAGGCCAAAGUAGUAACAAAGCACGUGAAUGACACAUGCAUAUACUAGUCAGCGAAUAAUUGAAAGAUCAAGCAAGAAGUUUCAUUCACAUCUAUUUCUUCGUCACUUACAAUCCCUGGCAGUCCAGAUAUAUAUAAUGUACUAUUUAUCAUAUAUAACAUCAGAUUGAUCGCAGCAUACAGUAUGAUAAACUAUAUGCAACAUUAUAUGUGCCAGCUACACCUAAUACAGAUAGAACAAGCUGAAUUCAUUUAUCUCAUAAAGAGCAGUCUAGUUCCUGCAUUUAAGAUGGAUAAUUACAGCCCUUCAGAAACCCUUCAAAAAUUGUAACUUAAAGAAUAGCAAAUUUUGCAAUCAUUUUUCAAUUAGUAGGAAAAACAGGAAAAAAUAUUUUUAAAAAGAAAGCUAUGAUCAUAUUUCACUUGAUGAGCUAUAAACUUCUCUCUAUACUAUGUAAUAAGAUAAGUUGACAUGCAUACUUCUGGAUUAAGUUUAUGAACAUACAAAAAAACAAUACAAAAUUAAUACUGAUGUACUAAAUGCAAGUAUGAUUUAGAUAAUGAAAUGAAGUCAGAUGUGAGCAUAACUAUAUUUAUCAUACUAGUAUCUUUUUCUUGUGAUUAUGAGUUUUUUUACUGGUGUUAUGUUUACAUAUGCUUGUUUUCGAAUGCAUUUUUUUUUGUAUGUUUUAAGCAGUUCCAUCUCUGAAUAGCACAAAGUUGGAUUUGAUCUGAAUCAUUAGCACAUAUACAUUUUGAACAGCUCAGCUUGCACCAAGCAAAGUUUUUUUAACUAGAAUUGUGUAUUAGGUCAAAUGGACCCAUUUUGAUGGUCACAUUCAAGUCAGUCCCCAGUCAGCUAUGUUACAUGGGUUCGGGUAUGGGUGUCGGGUGUGGGUAUGUGUUUAGGGGUCAGAUCCAUCAUAUCCCUUAGGAUAUGAGGACUUGCUUUAAAAAGGAACCAAAAAUGGAUAGGAGUAUGUGGACAUGUUAUCUCCAUCAUAUCAUGUUUUAGACCAUGAUGCAUAUUUUGAAAUUUUUUGGUUGUGGCAUACAUAAUUAUAUUUAAUUGAUAGAAACUUAUUUUUCUUUAUACAUAAGUCAGGAAUUAAAAAGCAAAUUUGCAUCAAAAGAAGGGUAGAUCUAAAUAGUAAACUGUAGGUGAAACAGCGACAGAAAUAUAAACUUCUAAUUUAAGUGGAUGGCAUCACAACCAUUCACCUUAUUUCUAUUAUUAAAUAGAGUGCAUCUCAUGUGCCAUCAGCUUACUAAUAAAGUGAGCUAACCUUAAGCCUUUUCCCUUUCUCAUCUCUCUUGAUGGCUCAAACUCGGCUGCCUGCAACCUCCUUGGAUAUCCUGUUCAACAAGCAGAAUGAUUGACGGCCAUUCUCCACCAUCCACCAGCUACACAAUCAUCCUAAUUGAGCCCAGUGGCAGCCGGCCUCAUCAGAGGUGGGUGAUAUGAAAGCCCUCUCUCUCUCUCUCUCUCNNNNNNNNNNNNNNNNNNNNAAGGGGCGUAGAACUCGACGAGGGCGCCGCGAUCUUGGCCGACCUCCUCCUCGAAGUUGGCCUCGGUGAGCACGAUGACGUCGUCGUCGGCGAGGGCGGAUACGAACAGGAGAGCUAGGGUUAGGGUUCCGAAGAACAAUACCGAAAUCUGAGAUCUCUCCAUCUCUCGCUCUUUCGGAUCUCUUCUUCCCUCCAAAUGUUUUUUUCUUUCCUCCUCUUUUUCCCAAACCCUAACCCUAGCGGCUGCGGCCCUCCACCACCUGAGAGAGGCCGCGCUCCUCCAGCGCCGGCAAGAUGCAGAUCUUCGUGAAGACCCUCACGGGCAAGACCAUCACCCUCGAGGUCGAGUCCUCGGACACGUCUCUCUCUCUCUCUCGCUCUCUCUCAUCAGAGAUCCUUGCUUCCUCUUUUCUCCCCUCCAUCUCUGCUCUUCCCUGUCCAUCUCUGCUCUCAGGGGGGAUGUCCGAGAGUAUUUACAAUGGGGCCAACUCAUAUUCCAUACCCAUAGUUUUCAUGUAGUGCCAGCACUGGUACGCAAAGGUUAAGCGGCGAGUCUGAAAACACAGCCAGUCAGAUCCAAUUUGACAAAAGACUUCUGAGUCUUGCGUAACUGCUUCAGAUGUCUGUUGUAGAUUGAAACAGAAAGAUAACUGAAAAUCUUUUCAGACUUGACAGAAUCUUACCAGUGUAUGUUGGCCAAUGGAGUCCUAAUAAUAUAUACACUAGAUGUUGUUAGAUAGCUUGUGACCUCUCAUGUGUCAAAUGAAGAUCAGAUAACAAGCAGCUUUCUAUGUUGACAAAAAAGCAAACUACGACAUUCCAGUUGUUCACAUGAAAGAAAUCUCUCAAAGCUUUAAAAACUAUAAAGCAAUCAGACCUCCUCGUUAAGAUCUACAAAUCUCACCAUAUUCCCUAUUACAACGCAAAUUCCUGGUGUGGGGCACAUGCGUCUCUACCCCUUGCUUAUUCAUCUCCGCAUCCACAUUGACAUAUCCAUCUCCAAGAAGAAAUUUCAUGAGUGGACUCCUUGGAUUCCUCUCUUCUUCCUUUCCUCAUUUUCGAUGGAUACCCUUUUUAGCAUCUACAUCUUUCUAAACUUCCUUUCAAAUAAUUAAGAGAAAAUCAGUAGGCACAUGAGGGUAAACAGGCAGUCUGCUUGUCAACAUAGUCUAAAAAAUCCUAAUCAGUGGGAUCACUGCCGUCCAUCAUAUGUUUUUGUAUUUCUCUUGAAUAAAUCACAUAUAAUGCACGUCCAAAAUACUACCAUUUUUAAAUGUCAGCAAAGUAUAUCACUUGAAUAUUCGUGCCUAAUUAAAUGCCAUUUUCAUUCAUCGCACAUCCGCUUAGCAGUUUUCACUUCUGCUUAAUGUUUCGCAAACUAAGGCACGUUCAGUUUCAUUUGCAACAAAUGACAGCAUGUUAAUAGUCUUUCAUUCACCAUGGCUCCUUCCCUAGAAGUCCAACUAAAAUGGUUAAUAUACAGCCCCUCAA